UUCUGCAAAUAAAACAAAAACCUUUUUUGGAUUCGUGAUUUCAAAGUCGAAACCUUUUUUGUUACAGAGAUUCAGAUAUUUUUGUGUUUCUUCUUCGGUUUUAAAGUUUGAUGUUUUCUUGACAACCCAAAGGAAAGGGACUACACAUUAUAUGAUUGUGUUUGUUCGGUUUCUAACUUGGGGAAAUUGUCCGCGUCCGUAAAAAGGCUUGUCAAUACAUACUGUCUUGUUGUGGCUGGGACAGCUUGACAGAAACUUCAAUCUCUGCUAAAAAGAUCAGUCUUUUUGUUUAAGGCUUGGACUAUGAUUUGUCCUUAGAAAAAUUCAAUAUCUCUGCUUUAAGUUAUAUGGAGUUACAAUUCAAUAUUUCUGCUAAUUUGAUGGAGAGUAAAAAGUCCUUUGGACAAUGAUAAUCUAAGAAAAUUCAAUUCUCUGCUUAUACAAUGAUUCAAUGUUCUGCAAAAUUUGAUGGAGAAGAAAAAGAUACAGUCUGCAAAUAAUGGCUUGGCCUCAGAUGUUGUAACAUUCAAUAUCUCUGCUAUGGUUUAAGAUACUUCAAUCUCUGCUCUUUAUCAUUGGACCAUGAUGUCCUGAGAAAUUCAAUUAUCUGCUGAAACCUAUUAUAUCAUUCAGUAUUCUGCAAAAUUUGAUGGAGAAUAACAAUAAGGGCUUGGUUAAUGUUCGGAUUUAAGGAUUGUUUUGCUGAAGCUGGGACAGCAUGUUUUAACUUCUAUAUCUCUGCUAAUAUAGAAAACUUCAGUCUCUGCUAUAAGAUCAGACUUGUACAGUGAUGUCUGGAGAAAUUCAAUCUUCUGCUUGAAAUAGAAAAUUCAGUGUUCUGCUAACUACUAAUGGAGAGAGAGAAAAAAAUGUUCUUUUAUAGGAGUUGUGCUUCUUGGGGCUUGAUAACAGAAGCUAGAUGGUACUUGGGGCAGAGAUAUUACGUCUGUAAGUAAAAGCCUGGGGCUUAUAUGAGUUCUACUGUCUUGCUGGGGCUGGGACAGCUUGACAUUAACUUCAAUCUCUGCUAAGAUUAGCCUCUAUUAUGGCUUGGACAAUGAUGUCCUGAGAAAUUCAAUUCUCUGCUUAAAUUAUAUGGAGUGCAAUUCAAUAUUCUGCUUAUUUGAUGGAGAGUAAAAGUCCUUUUAAGGUUCCUUUUGUAAGAUUGGAAAGCUCAGUUUUGCUGAAGCUGGCACCAUCCUUAACAUUCAUUAAUCUGCUAUAGAAAACUUCAGUUUCUGCUAAGAUCAGACUUGUACAUUGUUGUCUGGAGAAAAUUCAAUUUUCUGCUUAAACUAGAAAUUCAUAUUCUGCAAACUGAUGGAGAGAGUAUCAUAUUCAAUAUUCUGCAAUUUGAUAGGAGAAUAAAAAGUCCUUAAGUUAUCUACUAAAAACAGUGUUCGUAAUUUCCUGCACAGCCUCUAUAUAGUGGACAUAAAAGUAUUUCAGAAGAUACAACAUGUUGCAGACCGUAUCUUUUCCUCUUUUAAUCAGGUUAGUGUUUCUUCUCUUCCAUCUUUUAAAAAAGUAUGAUCUUCAUAAUAUAUCCCCUUGAUGGAGUUUGUAAUCUCUUUAUUGGUUACACCUCUUGAUCACAUAGUCUUUUUUUUAUAACUGUUAUGAGUGAUUACCAAUCUAUUUCUUUAACUUCAAAAGCCCAAGGACUGGAGUGCGUACAUGAUCUUUCUCAGGUUUGACUUCUCUUCUUCGGUUUUCAAUACCAUUGUGUUAUUGGUUGUGUUUGAAUUGUUGUAGUGGUACGGUUGUGGGCGACUCUAGCUCUAUGGUAACUUCUGGUGCACAACAGGAUUAGCUGAACGAACAGGUAUGUUUUUGAAUCGUAUAGUUUUUUGUUUCAGUAACUUUCGUCUAUAAAACUUUGGUUUCUCUAUAUAUUGCUUCUGCUGCACAACAGGAUUACUUUGUCUAAGUUUUGAGUUCAGACACUAUAGCAUUAGAGUCUAUUUUGAUUGUUGUAGUAGAGACAGUGACUGAUCCUGAACCGGAAAAGUUUAGCCAGCUUUUUGAUCAGGUAAGUUUUUUUACCCCUUAACUAAAGAUUUUAAAAUUCAUAUGUUAUUUCUGCUGUAAAAGUUGAGAUCUUAUGAUUUGUCAACAUCCUUUGGUUUCUUCUUUGUCUUUAUUAUACUGAUUUGGCAGCCGCAUGUGUUGUUGUUCGUUUGGUUGCCGCAGGUGCUUGCGGCAAGACGCUGUGGCGAACGCUGAUUCUAAUUUGCCGAUUAGUUGCGGCGAUCAAAAAGGUUGCGUUUGCCGCAGUCGCUACCGCUGCCGCAGCCGCCUGCGUCAACGAAACGAACACGCCCUUAAUGUUAAUAUCAAGAACAACAUUGAACUACUGACUUUUUCAUCUAAAACUUGACUGUAUACAACAACAUUUUGGGGUCUCAACAUUUAGAUUAUAAUUAUAUGAAUUUAUUAGGUCAUCUCCAUUGGUGGUAUUUAGAUGGAGAUGACAAAGUUGCUUAGCAAUAAAAAUAAAUAAUUAUAUGUAAAAGUGAAGCAAAAUGUUAACAAUCAAUGUUUACAGAAGGAGUUUUAGAACUCUUAAGGACCCUGUGCGUGUCACCUUCUGAUUGGAUUGGAUGAGAGAAAAAUAACUUUUUUUUUUCUUCUACUCUCAUAUCUUUUCCCCGACUUCCUUUCUUUGUCUCUCUCUCUAUUUGGCGAGUGUCGAUGUUAAAUGAUGCUUCAAUCUGUUUAUAUUGUUUCAGAUGGGUUAUCAUCUUCUUAAAACGAUUGGGAAUUGAUGUUACCAUAGUUAGAGAUCUAUGCGAUGCUAAUCGUCUCCUUUCUCAAGUGAUCCUCCAAGCUCUGAAGUCAAGAAAGCACCAACGAGAUCUAGUUGCAGUUCCUACGACCUCCAUGGCUUCCGGUGAUGUUCUUCGUCGUUUCAUCAGUGUCUAUCUUUCCCAGUACAGCUCUGACUCCUUGGUGAAGUAUUGGGUGUGACGAGGACAAUUUGAUCCGAAUGCAAUGACAGCAAAAGCAAGUGUACCAUUACCUCCGAAGACCCACAGCAGAAGAUCUUCAACGACUACUCGAUAUUGGAGAGUUGCGUGGAUUUCCCGGGAUGAUAGGCAGCAUAGAUUGUAUGCAUUGGGAGUGGAAGAAUUGCCCGACCGCAUGGAAAGGUCAAUACACACGUGGAUCUGGAAAGCCAACAAUUGUUUUAGAGGCUGUAGCUUCACAAGACCUUUGGAUAUGGCACGCAUUUUUUGGACCUCCAGGAAUAUUGAACGAUAUCAAUGUUCUCGAUCGCUCACCAGUUUUUUAUGACGUAUUACAAGGUAUAGCUCCUAAAGUGAAAUUCUUUGUCAACGGACGAGCAUAUCAUAUGGCUUACUAUCUCACAGAUGGUAUUUAUCCUAAUUGGGCUACUUUUAUCCAAUCAAUUCCAAUGCCACAAGAUCCGAAAUCAUCCUUAUUUGCUACAUGUCAAGAAGCCACACGUAAAGAUGUCAAGCGUGCUUUUGGCGUUUUACAAGCUCGAUUUGCUAUAGUAAGAAAUCCAGCUCUUGUCCAUGAUAAGGCAAAAAUUGGAAAGAUAAUGAGAGCGUGUAUUAUACUGCACAAUAUGAUAGUAGAAGACGAACGAGAUGGGUACACUCAAUUUGAUGCGGCAACAUUCGCACAAGCAGAGUCAAGCAGAACUUCACAAGUGGAUCUCGCAUAUUCAACAGAUAUAUCUUCAAAUCUCACUAACAUAAUGAUAAUGAACAAACGAAAUGAAGUUCAUGAUCGAAAAAUACAUCAAAGAUUGAAAGAUGAUUUGGUUGAGAAUAUAUGGCAGAAAUUUGGGACCAAUCAAGAUUACAAUUAAUUGUGUUUGUAAUGUGUUUUAAACUUUUAAAUAUCCUUUUAUGUAUUGUUUGUUUAAUAUCUUAUGAAAUAUAUUUAUUUUCAAGU